AACUUUUGGCAACGGAUCUCUUGGCUCUCGCAUCGAUGAAGACCGCAGCGAAAUGCGAUACGUAAUGUGAAUUGCAGAAUUCAGUGAAUCAUCGAAUCUUUGAACGCACCUUGCGCCCUUUGGUAUUCCGAGGGGCACACCCGUUUGAGUGUCGUGACAUUCUCAAAACCUUCUCGGUUUCUCGACCGGGAAGGCUUUGGACUUUGGAGGCUUUUGCUGGCAUUCCUUUGUUGGAGCCAGCUCCUCUGAAAUGAAUUAGUGGGGUCUGCUUUGCCGAUCCUUGACGUGAUAAGAUGUUUUCUACGUCUUGGGUUUUAGCACUCCUGCUUCUAACCGUCUCACAGUAGACAAAUGGUCCACUCGACCCACAAACCUUGACCUCAAAUCGGGUGAGACUACCCGCUGAACUUAAGCAUAUCAAUAAGCGGAGGCU
rnacentral:misc_RNA from 1 species